rnacentral:rRNA from 1 species
GCUUGUCUCAAAGAUUAAGCCAUGCAUGUCUCAGUAUAAGUUCCUGUACGGCGAAACUGCGAAUGGCUCAUUAAAACAGUUACAGUUUAUUUGAUGGUCGUUCCUUACAUGGAUAACUGUGGUAAUUCUAGAGCUAAUACAUGCACCCGUGCCCGACUUUGUGGAAGGGUUGUGUUUAUUAGAUAAAGCCAACGCUGGGUAAAACCAGUUUCCCUUGGUGAUUCAUAAUAAUUAAGCGGAUCGCAUGGCCUUGUGCUAGCGACAGUCCACUCGAUUUUCUGCCCUAUCAUGGUUGAGAUUGUAAGAUAGAGGCUUACAAUGCCUACAACGGGUAACGGGGAAUUAGGGUUCGAUUCCGGAGAGGGAGCCUGAGAAACGGCUACCACAUCCAAGGAAGGCAGCAGG